CCCAAUUCCGCAUUCCAAUCCAAACGGCGGCCGCCUCCCGGCCCUCCGGCGUCGUCGCCUCAACGACGAGGGACAGAGGGGCCCGGCUCGCCGUCCUCCUCUCCUGAAGGAGAAUUUACUCCCGCCGCUGCGCAAGCCAUCCUGUCGCUUGUCUCGACGAUGCGCCACCGCGUGCUGACGCCGACGCUCUGCGCCGUCGCGCCGUUCGACAUCCGUUGGCUGCUGCCGAAGCCGCGCCUCACCGACGCCAUGCGCUGUUCGACAUCCGUUGGCUGCUGCCGAAGCCGCGCCUCACCGACGCCAUGCGCCGUUCGACAUCCGUUGGCUGCUGCCGAAGCCGUGCCUUACCGGCCCCAAGCGGUCGUGGCCGAGGGCCACCGCGUGGGCAAGGAGCCGCUGCGCACACCAUGUACGUGGUGCCGCCAACGCCACUGAUGCGGGGAUGCAUGAUCUUCUUUGCCAUGGAUGGCCUGGUGCCUCGCUGCGUUCAGUGCCCAGAGCACCGUCUAGAGGCAUUUCCUCUCUUCUGUGAUCUUGGGCGUGGCCUCAUAACACGGGAUCAGUGGAAGAGAGGCGGAGGCGACUACAGGCGGCAGCAAAUCGAUUCCAAGCAGCGGCAACACUCCCGUGCGCGUGCGGUCGCUCGACCCAAUCGAGCGGAUAGCGAGAGAGAACGUGCGCGCUAGGUUAGGAGGUGGGUUUCUUUUUUUCGAGGGUAAAGAGAGUUUUUAUUGCAAAAUCAUAGAGUUACAGUCGAGAGGCCAUACAUCCUCAAUGCAAGGAGGAAUCGAGCCUAGCCACACGGCAGUAGCACGCUCCAUACGGCUAUAGUUUGCCAGACGAUCGGCAACUCUAUUUUGAACACGACUAAGUUUCUGAGGAACAAACUCCCUAAUACCAGCUAA